rnacentral:lncRNA from 1 species
UGAUCUAAAAUAUGUGUAGGAGAUUGAAGAAUUUAAUCUUUUAUCUUUUGCUGUAAAAAUUUAAAAAAUGCAUGCUUUGAACUGCCUGUUUCCCCUUCAGUGACGACACUCCCAAACAGACUGGUGGCAUCUCUCAAUAGGAGGGAAUUAUUGACCCUACUAUAAAUACUCUGACGGUGCAACAAGAGCCAAACAUGACCUAGUUAAUCUAGACUCUAGUCAGAGUAAUGCAGACACAGGAGCAGUUGCUUCAACAGUAAU